rnacentral:rRNA from 1 species
GCAAGUCGUGGGGUAACAUUGUAGCUUGCUACAGAUGACGACCGGCGUACGGGUGCGUAACGCGUAUGCAACCUACCUUAUACAGGGAGAUAGCCCAGAGAAAUUUGGAUUAAUAUCCCAUAGUAUUAUUAAUUGGCAUCAAUUGAUAAUUAAAGUUCCGGCGGUAUAAGAUGGGCAUGCGUGAUAUUAGCUAGUUGGUGAGGUAACGGCUCACCAAGGCAACGAUAUCUAGGGGUUCUGAGAGGAAGAUC